GUAUGCUUAGGGAGGAGCUUGCGUCACAUUAGUUAGUUGGUGGGGUAAAGGCCUACCAAGACUAUGAUGUGUAGCCGGGCUGAGAGGUUGAACGGCCACAUUGGGACUGAGACACGGCCCAAACUCCUACGGGAGGCAGCAGUAGGGAAUUUUCGGCAAUGGAGGAAACUCUGACCGAGCAACGCCGCGUGAACGAUGAAGUAUUUCGGUACGUAAAGUUCUUUUAUUAGGGAAGAAUAAAUGAUGGAAAAAUCAUUCUGACGGUACCUAAUGAAUAAGCCCCGGCUAACUAUGUGCCAGCAGCCGCGGUAAUACAUAGGGGGCAAGCGUUAUCCGGAAUUAUUGGGCGUAAAGGGUGCGUAGGCGGUUAAAUAAGUUUAUGGUCUAAGUGCAAUGCUCAACAUUGUGAUGCUAUAAAAACUGUUUAGCUAGAGUAAGAUAGAGGCAAGUGGAAUUCCAUGUGUAGUGGUAAAAUGCGUAAAUAUAUGGAGGAACACCAGUAGCGAAGGCGGCUUGCUGGGUCUUUACUGACGCUGAGGCACGAAAGCGUGGGGAGCAAACAGGAUUAGAUACCCUGGUAGUCCACGCCGUAAACGAUGAGUACUAAACGUUGGGUAAAACCAGUGUUGAAGUUAACACAUUAAGUACUCCGCCUGAGUAGUACGUACGCAAGUAUGAAACUUAAAGGAAUUGACGGGACUCCGCACAAGCGGUGGAUCAUGUUGUUUAAUUCGAAGGUACCCGAAAAACCUCACCAGGUCUUGACAUGCUUCUGCAAAGCUGUAGAAACACAGUGGAGGUUAUCAGUUGCACAGGUGGUGCAUGGUUGUCGUCAGCUCGUGUCGUGAGAUGUUGGGUUAAGUCCCGCAACGAGCGCAACCCUUAUUGUUAGUUACCAGCACGUAAUGGUGGGGACUUUAGCAAGACUGCCAGUGAUAAAUUGGAGGAAGGUGGGGACGACGUCAAAUCAUCAUGCCCCUUAUGACCUGGGCUACAAACGUGAUACAAUGGCUGUUACAAAGGGUAGCUGAAGCGCAAGUUUUUGGCGAAUCUCAAAAAAACAGUCUCAGUUCGGAUUGAAGUCUGCACUCGACUCAUGAAGUUGAAAUU
rnacentral:rRNA from 1 species